UAGUGGCAGACGGGUGAGUAAUGUAUAGGAAUCUACCUAGUAGUACGGAAUAAUUGUUGGAAACGGCAACUAAUACCGUAUACGCCCUACGGGGGAAAAAUUUAUUGCUAUUAGAUGAGCCUAUAUUAGAUUAGUUAGUUGGUGAGGUAAAGGCUUACCAAGACAAUGAUCUAUAGCUGAUCUGAGAGGAUGAUCAGCCACACUGGAACUGAGAUACGGUCCAGACUCCUACGGGAGGCAGCAGUGGGGAAUAUUGGACAAUGGGCGAAAGCCUGAUCCAGCCAUGCCGCAUGAGUGAAGAAGGCCUUCGGGUUGUAAAGCUCUUUUAGUGAGGAAGAUAAUGACGGUACUCACAGAAGAAGUCCUGGCUAACUCCGUGCCAGCAGCCGCGGUAAUACGGAGAGGGCUAGCGUUAUUCGGAAUCAUUGGGCGUAAAGGGCGCGUAGGCGGGUUAGUAAGUUAAAAGUGAAAUCCCAAGGCUCAACCUUGGAACUGCUUUUAAAACUGCUAAUCUAGAGAUUGAAAGAGGAUAGAGGAAUUCCUAGUGUAGGGGUGAAAUUCGUAAAUAUUAGGAGGAACACCAGUGGCGAAGGCGUCUAUCUGGUUCAAAUCUGACGCUGAGGCGCGAAGGCGUGGGGAGCAAACAGGAUUAGAUACCCUGGUAGUCCACGCUGUAAACGAUGAAUGUUAAAUAUGGGAAGUUUACUUUCUGUAUUAUAGCUAACGCGUUAAACAUUCCGCCUGGGGACUACGGUCGCAAGAUUAAAACUCAAAGGAAUUGACGGGGACCCGCACAAGCGGUGGAGCAUGUGGUUUAAUUCGAUGCAACGCGAAAAACCUUACCACUCCUUG
rnacentral:rRNA from 1 species